UACGGAGGGUGCAAGCGUUAUCCGGAUUUAUUGGGUUUAAAGGGUCCGCAGGCGGAUCGUUAAGUCAGCGGUGAAAGCCCUCAGCUCAACUGAGGAACUGCCGUUGAUACUGGCGAUCUUGAGUGCGAGUGAAGUUGGCGGAAUGUGUGGCGUAGCGGUGAAAUGCUUAGAUAUCACACAGAACACCUAUUGCGAAGGCAGCUGACUAACUCGAAACUGACGCUCAGGGACGAAAGUGUGGGGAUCAAACAGG
rnacentral:rRNA from 1 species